rnacentral:rRNA from 1 species
GAUGAACGCUUGCGGCGUGCUUAACACAUGCAAGUCGAACGAUGAAGCCCAGCUUGCUGGGUGGAUUAGUGGCGAACGGGUGAGUAGCACGUGAGUAACCUGCCCUUAACUCUGGGAUAAGCCUGGGAAACUAGGUCUAAUACCGGAUAGGAGCGCCUACCGCAUGGUGGGUGUUGGAAAGAUUUAUCGGUUUUGGAUGGACUCGCGGCCUAUCAGCUUGUUGGUGAGGUAAUGGCUCACCAAGGCGACGACGGGUAGCCGGCCUGAGAGGGUGACCGGCCACACUGGGACUGAGACACGGCCCAGACUCCUACGGGAGGCAGCAGUGGGGAAUAUUGCACAAUGGGCGAAAGCCUGAUGCAGCGACGCCGCGUGAGGGAUGACGGCCUUCGGGUUGUAAACCUCUUUCAGUAGGGAAGAAGCGAAAGUGACGGUACCUGCAGAAGAAGCACCGGCUAACUACGUGCCAGCAGCCGCGGUAAUACGUAGGGUGCGAGCGUUAUCCGGAAUUAUUGGGCGUAAAGAGCUCGUAGGCGGUUUGUCGCGUCUGUCGUGAAAGUCCGGGGCUUAACCCCGGAUCUGCGGUGGGUACGGGCAGACUAGAGUGCAGUAGGGGAGACUGGAAUUCCUGGUGUAGCGGUGGAAUGCGCAGAUAUCAGGAGGAACACCGAUGGCGAAGGCAGGUCUCUGGGCUGUAACUGACGCUGAGGAGCGAAAGCAUGGGGAGCGAACAGGAUUAGAUACCCUGGUAGUCCAUGCCGUAAACGUUGGGCACUAGGUGUGGGGACCAUUCCACGGUUUCCGCGCCGCAGCUAACGCAUUAAGUGCCCCGCCUGGGGAGUACGGCCGCAAGGCUAAAACUCAAAGGAAUUGACGGGAGCCCGCACAAGCGGCGGAGCAUGCGGAUUAAUUCGAUGCAACGCGAAGAACCUUACCAAGGCUUGACAUGUUCUCGAUCGCCGUAGAGAUACGGUUUCCCCUUUGGGGCGGGUUCACAGGUGGUGCAUGGUUGUCGUCAGCUCGUGUCGUGAGAUGUUGGGUUAAGUCCCGCAACGAGCGCAUCCCUCGUUCCAUGUUGCCAGCACGUAAUGGUGGGGACUCAUGGGAGACUGCCGGGGUCAACUCGGAGGAAGGUGAGGACGACGUCAAAUCAUCAUGCCCCUUAUGUCUUGGGCUUCACGCAUGCUACAAUGGCCGGUACAAUGGGUUGCGAUACUGUGAGGUGGAGCUAAUCCCAAAAAGCCGGUCUCAGUUCGGAUUGGGGUCUGCAACUCGACCCCAUGAAGUCGGAGUCGCUAGUAAUCGCAGAUCAGCAACGCUGCGGUGAAUACGUUCCCGGGCCU